UUCAGACAAUGUCUGUUGUCUGUGUUCCUGGACAGGUAAGCUCCUGAGAGAGGGACUUUUCUGUGUUCCUUCCAAGAGCAGCACCUGGCAUGUGGCUGGUGCUUGAGUAUCGUUGAAUGUUUUCAUCCCAUUAUCCACAUCCUUCAGCUUGCCAGCUGUUACCUUUCUGAUUCCAAUUUGGCCAUUCUUUCCUCUAGGACAGUGGUUCUCAUUAAUUGUGCACCCUGACAACCAGUCAGAAAUGCAUAUUUUUGGUCCCCACCCCAGACCUAUGGAACUAGAACCUCUGGGGGUGACCUAGCAGUCUGGGUCUGAGUAUGCUUUAUAUACAGCGAUCUGUAUUUUAAGCAACCCUGAAAGGAUCCUGAUGCCUGUUUAAGCUUCAGAACCACUGCUCAGACUUUAGUUUGCAUCGAAAUCCCCUUGAGGGCUGGUUUAGUAGAUCUGGCAUGGGAUUUCUAACAGGUUCCCAGGGGAUGCUAAUACUGCUCUUCAGGGACCACUGCUUUAGGGCAUGAGAAGUUCUAAUGUAAUUAGACUGGUUUGUGGUCUGGGGUUGGCAAUCUUUUAAAGUCUCUCCAAAUGAUUCUAAUACGUGGCCAAGGUUAAGAGCCACCUCUCCAGGAACACUUUCCCAUCAGUCCUGCCCUCCCCAGCUCCGGGUCCUUUCCUCUGUCAGGAGCUAUGUUAGCAGCAUGUGCUUCCCUCCAUUGUAGCAAUUAUCUCACUGCCUGGCAGAGGCAGCUUAUCUAUCUCCCUCACUAGGUGGUAAACCUCUGGGCAAGGAAAGACUAGAUUCUUCUUUACCUCAGUGUUUUGAUAGGUGCUCAAUAUUUGUUGAUUGGAUUAAUCUAAUACAUGGACCGCCUCCAACUCUUAGAAGCAAACGUAAACGGGAUCAGUUAAUGUGCUCACCAGAUGGAGGACGAUAUUCUUCUUUGAUACUGAGAAGUGCAAAGAAGGACAAGUGUUCUGUGGUUUGGGAUGAUGUUUCUGGAAGGAGAAUAGAAUGGAAGCUGAAUCAGAUAUUCCACCUCACUCGGAAUUGAAAUUAAGAUUUUUAAGCAGGGUCUAGCAGGAUAGUGAAGUCAUUGUUAAAAGCAUGGGCUCCGUGGCCAGACUGCCUGAGUUUGAAUUCUGCCCUCUUUUCUAUUGCUUGUAUGAUCUUGGCAAAGUUACAUAAUUAUUUUGUAUUCCAGUUUCCUAUUGUGUAAAAUGAGGUUAAUCGGAGUACUUUCCUUUUGGGUUUGUCAGUUUUGAGGAUUAGAAUACAUGUAAAACUUUCAGAGCAAUACUGAGCACUUACUAAGUGCUAUUACACUACCUUUUAAUUAAUGGAAAUGGAUAGAAAUUAAUCUAAUUAUUAAAUCUUAGGUUGUAAUAAAUGGUUCUCAUUUUCCUAGCCCCUACUUAAGCCCAAAUACGAACAUUUUCCCUCCUUAGGACCAUGAAUGCAACUAGAAAUGUAAAAAGCAGUGAAGCAAUGCAAGCUGAUAAAAUUAUGAGACCAAAGGCAUCAAAGUAUUUGCCAGCAUGAGCUCAUUCAUAUAUUUCACUCAGUUUGAAUUUCUAGUUUGAAAUCAACCUGGUUUUAAACUGCUCAUUAGUAUAUUUUGUAAUUGAAUGUAUUUUGUGUAUAGUAAACUUACUACAUUUUACUUAUUUUGUGACUAGUGCUAGGUUACAUUUUAAUUGCUCUUACUAAUUUGGCAAUACCACCACCGAUUUAUUUCCUUUGAAGGUCUCAGAGCUGAGAGGGGAUAGUGUUUUAAGCUCUGAAGAGAGGUAAAGGUAUUAAAACAUGCUGUUUGUAUUAGGGUACUGACGUUUUUUAGGGAUAUUAAAACGUCUUUUAUAUAACUUUUUCCCCAAAAAGCUACAUUCCAGAAUCCCCUGAAGAAUACAGGCAGAAAUCUUUUCACCUCCUAACUUCUUAUUUUGUAAAGGGAAAUCAGGCCACAGACUGUUCACCAAAAAUGAAAUAAUUAAGACUCCAAACUGACUUUCAACCCAAGACAUUUCCCAUCAGGCCCUGCCAUCUCUUGGAAGAACAGUAACUACACUAUAUAAGGCUAGGGAGGUGGUGCUAGUGGGCUCCAAAGGACAGUGUAACGUCUCGUUCUAUAUAUAAUACACCCUUUGCAUCCAUAUCCACAAAUCCUAACCCAGUGAUUCCCAGCCCUGGCUGCAUGUCAGUUACCUGGGGAACUUGCAAAAAUUCAUCUAUGACUGGACCCUACUUCAAACUGAGUCAAUGUCUGGAGGAUGGGGACCCAGGCAUGGGCACUUUUUAAAGCUCCCCUGGUGGGAUUCUGAGGUGCAGCCAGGGCUAAGAACCGUAAUGCCUAGUAAGUUUGGAUGCCUUUGAUAAAUAACAACAACAAUUGAGUAGCGGAAUGAACCUUUAGGGCUGUAGGAAAUUGUAGCUUCCUGAAGCUCUCCAUCUGCCUGUAAAUAGGCCUACUUAUUCCAGAGGCUUACAUCUAUGCAAGAGAAUCCCAGUUGCAGUGGAAAGUCUGCUGGAGUAAAAAAUAGGGGUAGUAGGAGAAAUACACAUUGAAGCCCUCUGUUGUCCCCUUACACCCAAGUCUAGCUGUUGGAGCAGGUGCCAGGCUUUGGGGGAGCUCUUAUUAAGAUAGAAAGCCACCCUGGCCUUCCCAGUUACCUCAUAGCUGCCCUCCCUUCUAGGGAAUGUUGCUGGAGGUUCUGCAGGGGUUGGGAGGGAGGACAGGAUGGUUCUUCCUGCCCAGACUAAGACAGUCUUCCAAGACUGGGAGAGAGGACAGUAGAUAUUGAAUGAGGACUCCAGAGCAGCUGUAGGAGCUGAUGACCAAUACCUGGGACCUCUCGCAGCACCUCUUAGACAUGGGCGUGGGGGAGCUCUGUCUGCCCGAGGCUGAAUUUUCUGCCUGCCCUGCCAUAGAGGUACAAGCAGGAUUAUAUUAAUUUAAAGGAAAUAAACACAAAUGCCCAAGUCUAUGCACAGAUUUAUGCCAUAAAACAAAGGAAUUAGCCUUCAUUGAAUGUCUAAUAGCCAAUAUUUAUUGAUUCCUUCUUAUGUGCCAGGCACUGGCUAGCUCAUUUAACCAUUCACAGUGAUCCUGUGAGGUAGAUGCUGUUGUCUCCAUAACAUGAUAGACACAUUGAGGUGAAGUGAAAUAACUUGCCCCAAGUCACACACUAGCAGGUGAGAAAAAUGAAAUUCAAAGUCAGGGCACCUCAUUCCAGAUCCUGUGCCCUUAGGCUUUACCCAGAUUGCUGGCUAGGUCUUUUCACCUACAUCUUCUCACUUAAUCCUCAAAACAACCUGUAAGGGAAGUGUUAUUUCAGCAAGUGGUUUUACGGCAAAGAAACUGAAGCACUGAGAGAGAAACUUGCCCAACAUCUCACAGCUAGUCAGUGGUGGACUCCAUGUCGGUCUGGUGAUGAACACAAAUUCUGAUUCUCUACCUGUCCUCUGUCUCUUCUCCCUCCCUUUCUGAGAGAAUCAAAAUGACAGAGCCAGUCCAUUCCUGGUCUAGCAAGACACACACACAUGCAUCUGUAAUGUAAGGUAACCACAUUCUAAUGGAGUAAGUGCUAAAGCAGUUCUUUGUAAAGUAUUAUGGGUGGUGGGGAUGGAGGAACUGCUCUGACAAGGAGAACAAACUUCUGGCAAAGACCCAAACAAAGAACAGAAUUUUCAGGUGGGUCAAUUCAGCAGACUCAUUCCAAGUGAAGAUAGCACCAUGUGUGAAGGCUCAAGAUGUGAGAAUAUACACAAGGGUAAGUCCAGGUUUUGUGGAGGUGGAAAUUAUACAAUUUAGGGUCCUUAUUUAAGAAAAUGCAGUACUGGGAAUACUAGUAUUAUACUAAGAGGUAUGAAAGUCAGUGUUCAUUAAGAAUGAGAAAGGUCAUGGCAAUUCAAGAUUUUAAAAGCUGACUUUGUUGGAGGUUCUUAAAGAGUACCCACAGGCCCAAUAAUAAAGGGACUCAGAGAAGAUGUUUUGGACCAGGCACAGUGGCUCACGCCUGUAAUCCCAGCACUUUGGGAGGGCAAAGCAGGUGGAUCACCUGAGGCCAGGAGUUCAAGACCAGACUGGCCAGUAUGGUGAAACCCUGUCUCUACUAAAAAUGCAAAAACUAACUGGGUGCAGUAGCUCACGACUAAAUCCCAGCUACUCGGGAGGCUGAGGCAGGAGAAUCACUUGAACCUGGGAAGUGGAGGUUGCAGUGAGCUGAGAUUGCAACACUGCACUCCAGCCUGGGUGACAGAGUGAGACUCCAUGUCAACAACAAAAGCUGUUUUGCUCAUGGUAAUGGUUUACUACAACAGAAGGGUAUGGAUGAAACUCAGCAAACAAAAAGGCACAUGGAGUGAAGUCCAGGAGAAAUUACGUCCAAGUUUUCAUUUGUCUUCUUCCAGUGGAGUUGCACAGACAGCACUGAAUUAUCCCAGCAACGAUGUGUCAUUGUAGGUAGAGUGCAGCCAACCAGAGAAGCUCAGUGGAGGGUGUCCAGGUUCCUGGCAUCUUGAAGAAAGAAUUGGACAAAAUGCAGAAAGCAAGGAAAGAAUGAAGCAACAGAAGCAGAGAUGUAUUGAAAAUGAAAGUACACACCACAGGGUGGGAGCAGGCCCAAGCAUAGGGUCUCAAGAGGCCCAUUACAGAAUUGUCUGGGGUUUAAAUACCCUCUAGAGGUUUCCAUUGGUUACUUGGUGUACACGCUAUGUAAAUUAAGAUGAUGAAGUAAAGUUACAAAGUCAUUUACUUGGUGUACACCAAGUAAAUGGAGAGGAUGUUUCCUGUCAUAGCUGAAGUGUUUCCAUUUGAUUUAGUUCUAGGAAAUCAGCAUGAAUUGGCCUUAUGUUCUCUGCCUCCAGACCCCAUUGUCCUGCCUCAAUACCACUACAAGUUGUGCCUGAAAAACACAGGCAUUCCAAUAAAUUGUUUUUCACAAUUCCUAUUAAAAAAUAAUAGUGUUUAUAAAUGUAUAUGCUACAUUAUCUACAAUUACCUGUAUUUGUAUACACAUGACCAGGUAAACACAUUACUAGAGUUUUUCUGAGGCCUUUGAAGGGGCCAUAGAGCUUGGACUUCUUCAACUUCAUGGUAAAGCCUCCUCUGAGUUCAAGAAUUUUCUUUUUUUCUUCAAGAUGGAGUCACUUUGUUGCCCAGGCUGGAGUGCAGUAGCUCAAUCUCAGCUCACUGCAACUUCCACCUCCUGAGUUCAAGCAAUUCUCCUGCCUCAGCUUCCCAAGUAGCUGGGACUACAGGCACGUGCCACCAGGCCUGGCUAAUUUUUGUAUUUUUUGUAGAGAUGGAAUUUCACCACGUCAGCCAGUCUGGUCUUGAACUCCUGACCUUGUGAUCCACCCACCUUGGCCUCCCAAAGUGCUGGGAUUACAGGUGUAAGCCACCGUGCCCAGCCUGCAAGAAUUAUUUACUAAUACCCUACCCUGUACUUAGCAUGGUGCUGAAUUUUUAUGGGAGCGUCUGAGAACUGUACCAAUCCCUGCUUAUAAGUGUACAUAGUCCUGUUAGGGAGAAACUAAAUAUAAAAUUGCACAAGUAAAGUACGUAUAUAUGACCUCAAAAACGACUUCCAGACCCUAGGAGAACCUAAGAGGUCUGCAAAACUUUCCCUCUUGAGGCCCCUUGCCCCAUUUCCCCUUCCAAUAAUUUAGAAUUUGAAGGUAAAUUAGAGGAUAACUGAAAUUGACAAAUCACGAGCUUUUCUUUUACUAGAAUGAAUUUUGUAAAACUCAAAUCUGAAUUCCUACUUCUCCAGCACAUGAUAGUUUUUUAAUAAAACUAAGCAAGAUAGAAAUUUAUAAAAUUCAGUGUAUAUUAUUUUUAAUGUGUAAAUGAAAUGAUACUAAAGGCUAGUAUUAUGAUAAAGGUAACUUAAAAACCACCGAUGUGAACUGAUGAAUAAAAUAAGUUUGACACAUAUAUUUUUAAAUAAAUGAGGUUUAAAUUAGUUAAAUACAAAGUGUAGAAACUUAAAAAUAUUACAAAGUUAGCUACAAAAAUAUUUUUAAAUGGUGACCCACAAGGGAUUGUGAACAGGUUAGCGUGCUUUUACAUUAAGAUACAGAAACAGAAUGCAUGGCUGCUCAAAAAGAGUAUCUUUUUGUGCUUUCUUGAGGGAGAGGGUUGUAGAGGGGAAACCCUCCAACUCGGGCCGACUAACAGGGAUGCUUCCUUAUGAAACGUUGCUCGCCUAAGAAUACCAGUGAGAGACCAUCGGCACUUUCUGUAAUUUGCAGCAAUAGAGCUAUUAGAAGAAACAUGAAGGAGAUAGAUAGAUCUGAAAUCAACAUUUGUAACAAAAGGCCUCACCGUGUUCCCCAGCACAAAUGUGCUACUGAUUAGCAGCUAAAAUGUGAGCAUCCCUACUCAAAUUCACCCUGUUCUCCCCAUCCUGAAGGUUCUGAUAUUAAUGCAUAGCAUUGUAGCUUAUAAUGCUUUUACUUAACAUCUUAUUCAUGCAUCAUCAGAGAAUGAUUUACCAAAAUUUAUGGAGAGAAAGAGCUAAAAAUGUGAAGUGGCUGUUCUCAAUCUUAGCUGCAUAUUAGAACAACCUGAGGGGUUUUUUAAUUCUGUGAUAACCACACUGCCCUCAGACCAAUCCGAAUUCUGGGGCUUAAAUCCAGGUGGAGUGCUAGCCACAUGUAGAGCAGCUUUCUGCUUUCAUAUAUAUCUGGGCUUAGGCCUCGGUAAGGGUUGGGAAGGGCCUGUGGCCUCUGAAGAGCCUUUGCAUUACAGCCCAGGAACAGCUGGCCCACAGCAGGAGCGAUGCAGAGCCUGAGGCGGAGGGCCAGACCUGGGGAGGAGGGGGUGCUUUGAAGAGCUUGGUGGUGAAUGGAGGCUUAAUGAAGCAGAAACUCUACUGCUGUCCAGCUGCCCCAAAUUACCUGAAUUUAGAAAGGAACACAAAGUUACAGUGAGUGCAUUUUAUUUUAGCCCAGACAAAUCCAACACCAUGGAUAGAAGGAGGGAAAGUAAAGAUCCCAUUCAGAGCCUUCCUCCAAGAAUUGAGGGGCUUUCUCAUUUUUCUCUCUGUAAAGGAUCAUUUCAUAAUUCAGCUCUCUUAUAAGCCACUUUUAAAACCCACAUUCCUGUGUGUAUUUAUAUCUCUUUCUGUGCUUUCUAUUCCGUUCUAUUAGUAAUCUGUCCAUUCAAGUGUCAGUACCAUGCUGUUUUAAUUAUGGAGGCUUUAUACUGUGUUUUAAUAACUGGUCAAGCUAUGUCCCUUACUUUGCUGCUUUUUUCAGAGUUGGAAAAGAUUUAAUAAAAUCACAAAUUUGAUUGGAUUUAAUCCUUCAUGUAAACAAUAUACAAAUUAUUUUCCUCCUU